CCAGGGACCAUGUGUUUUUUACAAAACCAACCACACGUGCUUCGCCACACGCAUUCGUAACUUGGCGGGCACGGAGGAAGGUUCGAAAACCCUCACAACAGUCAAAAUGGUUACCAUGACAGAGCUAGACUCCAAGCCAAUGAAGUGGAUGCUUUCAAUAACGUCUAAUGAACACAUCAUGCCGAUCUUUAAAUGCCGGCGAAACUUUCCACAAAGUCCUUGCAACUCUCCGUUUGUCAUGAAUUUACCGUGCCCGUCAAACAAUAUUAUCCGCUGGAAUUAGACCUAUGUGCCAGUAAAGUCUAGGGCCAAAAAGUCUAGGGCCAACUUCCUAGGGGCCUGCAGUAAAUAAUUUCAGUGGUAAUCUAAAAAAUAUGAGUAAUUUGAAUUAAAACAGUAACAAAUUUGAAUAAAUCUGUAUGAUGUUUAGACCUAAAAAAAUAUGGAUGCCUAACUCUAACUCCCUAGGGGUGUGCAAAAUCAUAUUAAAAUUUGAGGAUUCAGGACUGUUGGGGUUAGUAGGUCUUAAACUAUAAAAUAAACUUAUUUAAAAUAAAUUAAAAUUACGAGCAGCACAGGCACUCUAAUCCAAACCCAAGGUGAAAGCACAUAAAAUAAAUUUAAAUUUCAUAUAGUAUUAAGCAAAUCACUUGGGAGGGUAAAUCCAGUUUUGAAUACAAAAUACAAUGCAGCUUCCAAGUGUGCAAAAGUCAUUUUGUAUCAUUUUCACAAAAGUGUAAAUCCUUGCAGUAUUUUUAAGGUCCUUCCCCUGCAUGCCACAAGUAACAGAUAACCAUUAUGUUAAGCACAAACCAUUAAUUAACAAACAUCACUUUAAUCACUAACCAACUAAGACCUAGCAAAAUGCUGCAAGGACUGGGGCAAUAGUCUAUUUUGGAUCUUGAGGUCCCUUGUGCAAUAAGUUUGAUUUUCAAAACUGGAUUGCCAACAUUUUUCUUAGUGCAGGAUUUUAAAAAAUAUGGAAAUGUAAAAAAAAACUCGUCACCUUCACAACAUUUUGAAAACAAACCACAUAGUUUUUAACAAGCACUUUCUACGCACAAAUAAUAAAAGUAAGAUAGAGUUUAAACUAAGUUUAAUUAAAACAACUAAUUUUUUUAACUUAACUAAGUUCUAAUGAAAGGGCAAUUAUUUAAAAUAUGCCUACUUAAAAUGCACAGGAAAAAAAUGAAAUCAAAUUAUACUGGGAUAAAAUAAUAAAAAUGCUAAAAGAAAGACUCAAACUAUACAUAAAGGACACCUAAAUCGUAUAACAACUUGGUUGGCCCUGGGCAAACUUGGGAUAAUGGUCGGUGUACAUGUAGAGCAGGAAAUUUGAAAGCUUUUGAAUGCCAUCAUGGAGAAACUCUAAAAAAUAGAAUCCAAGUUGCCCCUGCAUAAACUUUGGACAAUGUGAGAAAGACAAACUAUGAACUUGUGAGGAUGACAUUAUAAGGACCGGGAAACUAGAAAAGGCUACAUCAAGAUGGGCAGUGUCACAGAUAGGAUGUAGGCCAGUGUGCUGAAGGAGGCAAAUCAUCCAAUGAUCAUCACCAAGAUAGAGGACGGGACUUUUUCAUCGAAAUGUCUGACUUGGACCGAGAAUCAACAGUCGAAGGCAACACUGGAAGCAGCACUUGGAAGCAGAAUCAAAGAACACACCUACCUUGAACUCCAUGCCAUUUCGCAAGCUUGACAACUGGAGGAUGAGCUUGUUUGGAAGGAUGAUUCCUGUCUGGAAGGACCGAAUUGGUCUUUGAGGAACAAUGACUUUCUGAUGAUGGGACGUGUGGAAUCCUGUUUACUUUCUGAUGUUGGGACCAUUGAAGUUCGCCAUUCUUACUACCAGUGGAGGCCCGUCUCGCUCAGGAAACUGAGUCUGCAGGUCUUUGGACGUUAUCCCGCUGUGAGCAUCGAUAAGAAGCCUGGGUUGCCAAACUCUUCAGAGCUUGUUACUUCCACUGAUGAGGCAAGACAGAACGACCAGACAGCUGGGGUAGAGGCCGGGGGACAAGAUUGCAUGUUCAUAAGGUGAGGUAAUCAUUGUAUGCAGGCUUGAACAUGCACAAGACCCCCGGAUGUUGCCGUACAGUUUGCAAGUGGAGUCGCUUGGAUUGUGUGGUAGAUUAGAACGAGGGGGACAAGGUUGCAUGUUAACCAAGGUGAGGUAACCAUUUCUCUACAGCUCUUCUAGGCCACAUGCCUCAAGACUUGUCCCCCUGGAUUCUGGAUGUUGUUCUGUGCAUUCUGGAUGUUGUUCUGUGGAUUGUGCCGAGUGGUAUCCUGUUUUGACUGAUCUAACCAUCAUGAUUGGAUUGUUCAAGAAUUGCCAGUUGAGAGGGGACAAGUUAUAUGUUAACCGAGGUCGCCGGCCAAAAUUGAGCAUGUGCUGCUAGACUUCAUUUACAGGACUAAAGAUCCUCUAUA